rnacentral:rRNA from 1 species
AUUGAACGCUGGCGGCAGGCCUAACACAUGCAAGUCGAACGAGUGGCGGACGGGUGAGUAAUGUAUGGGAAACUGCCUGCUGGAGGGGGAUAACUACUGGAAACGGUAGCUACUACCGCCUACCAUCGGAUGUGCCCAUAUGGGAUUCGCUAGUAGGUGGGGUAACGGCUCACCUAGGCGACGAUCCCUAGCUGGUCUGAGAGGAUGACCAGCAACAAUGGAAAUGAGACACAGACCAGACGCCUACGGGAGGCAGCAGUGGGGAAUAUUGCACAAUGGGCGCAAGCCUGAUGCAGCCAUGCCGCGUGUAGGAAGAAGGCAUUAGGGUUGUAAAGUACUUUCAGCGGGGAGGCGUUACCCGAAGAAGAAGCACCGGCUAACUCCGUGCCAGCAGCCGCGGUAAUAC